GGGGAUGUGGUCUAGUGGUAUGAUUCUCGCUUAGCAAUUAGCUAUCAAAUGUGAGCGGUCCCGAGUUCAAUUCUUGGCGUCUCCA
rnacentral:tRNA from 1 species